GGGUGAAGGUCAUUUUCAGUUAUAAAUCAUUCGUGAUUAAAACAAACUGUAUAAUGUUCUAUUAUGCACUAAUGAUUGGUGGGAGUGUAAGUGACUCCUAAAUGUGUAUUAAGGUCUGUUUAUAAGGUAAUUACUUUCUGCAAGCUUUUAUUUUGAAAGUCACCUUUUUACAUUACGUGACUUUUAUUUUGACGCCACCUCCUGGCGGAAGAAGGAUAGUGCUACGGAGAUUUACUGAAGGAGGGAAAGCACGCAAUUGCGCUGCUUUAUGUCAUCAUAAACUGAUAAUUAAGCGCCUAGCCAGUACGGGAACAAGCUCUUACGGUGUUUUCUGAAGAAAGGUGUUUAAAGAAGAAAAGGUGAAUUUGUGUUCAAAAUAUGGCUAACGGCUGAACAUAAAUAAAAGGCUUCUGAAACAUCA